AUCCUUUUGGGGCCUCAUAAGCAUGAUGAUUGUGUGUUCAUGGGGUUGCAUGACACGUGCUGCCCACAAACCUUAUUAUGCAUUGGCACAUUACCUGUCUGACA